GACUUUGGCUGGUGUGGAUGUGCUCUGAGGUUUACAGCGAGGAAGAAGCAGCCUUGCCACGAAUGCCAGGUCAGCAGCCAGCUGAGCGCUCGGGACUACUGCUUUGCUUUCUUGGAGGAAACUGAAAGUGUCUUUCAUAAAUCUUGAAGAACCAUUUCCAAAAUCCAUAGUUGGAUAAGGCAUAGAGACACAUCAGGACUUGUAAACUGGAUGAAAUAAAAUUCUGCCAUCUUCA